GUGUCAGCCGCCGCGGUAAUACGUAGGGGGCGAGCGUUGUCCGGAGUUACUGGGCGUAAAGGGCACGCAGGCGGUGCGGCGCGUUUCGCGUGACAGCGGGUGGCUCAACUACCCGAGGAUGCGAAAGACGGCGGCACUUGAGGGCCAGAGAGGGACACGGAAUUCCGGGUGGAGUGGUGAAAUGCGUAGAGAUCCGGAGGAACACCGAAGGCGAAGGCAGUGUCCUGGCUGGUGACUGACGCUGAGGUGCGAAAGCUAGGGGAGCGAACGGGAUUAGAUACCCGCGUAGUCC
rnacentral:rRNA from 1 species